rnacentral:rRNA from 1 species
CGUAUCCAACCUGCCGUCUACUCUUGGCCAGCCUUCUGAAAGGAAGAUUAAUCCAGGAUGGGAUCAUGAGUUCACAUGUCCGCAUGAUUAAAGGUAUUUUCCGGUAGACGAUGGGGAUGCGUUCCAUUAGAUAGUAGGCGGGGUAACGGCCCACCUAGUCAACGAUGGAUAGGGGUUCUGAGAGGAAGGUCCCCCACAUUGGAACUGAGACACGGUCCAAACUCCUACGGGAGGCAGCAGUGAGGAAUAUUGGUCAAUGGGCGAUGGCCUGAACCAGCCAAGUAGCGUGAAGGAUGACUGCCCUAUGGGUUGUAAACUUCUUUUAUAAAGGAAUAAAGUCGGGUAUGCAUACCCGUUUGCAUGUACUUUAUGAAUAAGGAUC